rnacentral:rRNA from 1 species
CAGUCGCCACGGUAAUACGAAGGGUGCAAGCGUUAAUCGGAAUUACUGGGCGUAAAGCGUGCGUAGGCGGUUUGUUAAGUCUGUUGUGAAAUCCCCGGGCUCAACCUGGGAAUGGCAAUGGAUACUGGCAAGCUAGAGUGUGUCAGAGGAUGGUGGAAUUCCCGGCGUAGCGGUGAAAUGCGUAGAGAUCGGGAGGAACAUCAGUGGCGAAGGCGGCCAUCUGGGACAACACUGACGCUGAGGCACGAAAGCGUGGGGAGCAAACAGGAUUAGAUACCCCUGUAGUCCCUGUCUCUUAUAC